GCACUGUCUCAACGAGAGACUCGGUGAAAUCAUAGUACCUGUGAAGAUGCAGGUUACCCGCGACAGGACGGAAAGACCCCGUGGAGCUUUACUGUAGCCUGAUAUUGAAAUUCGGCACAGCUUGUACAGGAUAGGUAGGAGCCUUUGAAACGUGAGCGCUAGCUUACGUGGAGGCGCUGGUGGGAUACUACCCUAGCUGUGUUGGCUUUCUAACCCGCACCACUUAUCGUGGUGGGAGACAGUGUCAGGCGGGCAGUUUGACUGGGGCGGUCGCCUCCUAAAAGGUAACGGAGGCGCUCAAAGGUUCCCUCAGAAUGGUUGGAAAUCAUUCAUAGAGUGUAAAGGCAUAAGGGAGCUUGACUGCGAGACCUACAAGUCGAGCAGGGUCGAAAGACGGACUUAGUGAUCCGGUGGUUCCGCAUGGAAGGGCCAUCGCUCAACGGAUAAAAGCUACCCCGGGGAUAACAGGCUUAUCUCCCCCAAGAGUUCACAUCGACGGGGAGGUUUGGCACCUCGAUGUCGGCUCAUCGCAUCCUGGGGCUGUAGUCGGUCCCAAGGGUUGGGCUGUUCGCCCAUUAAAGCGGUACGCGAGCUGGGUUCAGAACGUCGUGAGACAGUUCGGUCCCUAUCCGUCGUGGGCGUAGGAAAUUUGAGAGGAGCUGUCCUUAGUACGAGAGGACCGGGAUGGACAUACCUCUGGUGUACCAGUUGUCGUGCCAACGGCAUAGCUGGGUAGCUAUGUGUGGACGGGAUAAGUGCUGAAAGCAUCUAAGCAUGAAGCCCCCCUCAAGAUGAGAUUUCCCAACUUCGGUUAUAAGAUCCCUCAAAGAUGAUGAGGUUAAUAGGUUCGAGGUGGAAGCAUGGUGACAUGUGGAGCUGACGAAUACUAAUCGAUCGAAGACUUAAUCAA
rnacentral:rRNA from 1 species